UACAGAGGGUGCGAGCGUUGUUCGGAAUUAUUGGGCGUAAAGCGCUUGUAGGCGGCACGUCAAGUCGCGUGUGAAAUCCCCAGGCUUAACCUGGGAAGUGCGCGCGAAACUGACGAGCUUGAGUGCCGGAGAGGGUCGCGGAAUUCCCGGUGUAGAGGUGAAAUGCGCAGAUAUCAGGAAGAACACCUAUGGCGAAGGCAGCUCUCUGGGACGGUACUGACGCUGAGACGCGAAAGCGUGGGGAGCGAACAGG
rnacentral:rRNA from 1 species